rnacentral:rRNA from 1 species
AUACGUAGGUGGCAAGCGUUGUCCGGAUUUAUUGGGGCGUAAAGCGAGCGCAGGCGGUUUUUUAAGUCUGAUGUGAGAGCCCUCGGCUUAACCGAGGAAGCGCAUCGGAAACUGGGAAACUUGAGUGCAGAAGAGGACAGUGGAACUCCAUGUGUAGCGGUGAAAUGCGUAGAUAUAUGGAAGAACACCAGUGGCGAAGGCGGCUGUCUAGUCUGUAACUGACGCUGAGGCUCGAAAGCAUGGGUAGC